CGGGACUGUAAAUGCCAGCGGCGCAGGUGUCCUGUCAGGAGUUGUGGCGGUGCGCGGGGCGGUGGUGUUCUGUGUCUGUUUGGGGUGCUGCUGUUGUGAGGUCCUGGACACUUCAUCUUCUCAGGACAAAACCCGAAGUCUUCCUUGAAAUGCUUGCAGACAGCAGGUGAGGGAGGAAUCGUUCUUGGCACCUCGUGGCAAGGAGCUGAAGGACAGAGGUGAAGGAUUUUCUGUUCAUGGAUAAACACAAGCAGCAACAAGCCUGUGUUUCUGAAUGGCCUAGGACCUGCUCUUCCCAGAGAUAGGAAAACCCUGACAGUGUUCAAGAGCUCAGACAGGUAUUUGUGAUCUGGACCCUGCAGGUUGUCUCCUUCCAAUUCUUGUCAAUGGAGAGUCCUGAGACACUGAACUUAUUUCAUUUCUAACCACAGCCCAGCAGAUCCCACACUUUGCUCUGGGCUGGCUGGGCUGCUCUGCAGAUGAUCUUGCGAUGUUAUGACAGUACAGAGAGCAGUUAUUCCAAGUGCUUGCCAAUCACCAGACUGCUGCCAGUCUGUGUCAAAUGAAGCAUCCCAGGCCCUGUCACAUUAAAUCCAGCAGCUCUUUCAUUUGGAGCAGAACAGUGUGUUUAUUUGUGUUCCCUCCCCUCCUUUUGGGAUGCCACACUCAAUCAUCUCAGGGGUUUGGCCUGCCUAUAACCACAGCGAGUCUCAGCACACCUUAAAGGGCCCCUCAUUUUGCGGCAAGCAAUGCUGUUGAGUUCUUCGCUUGGUGUUAUUUUGGAAAGAGUUGGGUAUAAGUAAGGUGGAAAGCAUGAAAUAUUGUUAUUAUAGAGAGCAUAGUUUCAGAUGAGUCCUGUGACCACCCUUGACAUUCACGCCAGUUCAAGGGCAGGGUGUCCCAGGCGGAUGAAUCACACAGCUGCUGUACCCUGUUCUAGAGAGAUGCAGAACAGAAGAUGCAGGGUAGUGGCUCAUCUGCUUGCACCAGUCAAGGCUGUGCAGCACCUCCAUUUCCGUGCCUUCAGAAUGGGAGGGAUGAGGGGAAGGGUAGUCUCUGCGAAGGGAAGAUGCAGCCAGGUGGCCUGCUGUGACCAUAUGGAGGGAUGGAAAUGAGAAUGCUGGAUCGUGUGGCUUCAGAGGAGGAUACAGUGUCUGCUUGGUCUGUCCGCAAGCAUGAGGGUACCGAGCUGAAAUUUUCUGAUGCAGUAUUGUGUGCUCCCACUGUUUCUCCUGAGCAAUCAGUGCUCCUGUUUCCUGCAACAUCUGUGCAACACCACCAACCAGGAGAGUGCUGCAGCAGUCACCUGGAAAGGGUGUGAUCGUUUGCAGCAUGGCUUUUCUGGCUGUGUUCAUACUUGGGCAGUGGUGACCUCGUGGGUAAAAUUGUCCAAUUCAUACAGAGGCUGCAGGUGGAAGGUGCAGAGAAAGGUUUGGUAAGAACGGCGAAAAGGAGGGAAAAAAAUGAUGAGCUGUCCGGAAACAUGAGUGCAGCGAGGAACCAAGGUUCUUCUUCCAUCAGUUCAGAUUCCCCUGUCUCUGUGGGAAAGCUGCAUGAAUCAAAUCUUUGUGUGUAGAGGUUGUGAAGACUGGUCAGCUUCUGUUGCCUUCAUAGCUUGGGAGAAAAGAGUGUUUAUUCAUUUAUAAUGCAGCUGCAUAAGAGGUGAUUCAUUUUUUGUCAUUAUUUGGUGUUUAAUUUGCCUUCUGUAGGAUAUGAAUUCAGAUGUUAUGAUGGUUUUACUCCUUUACAAGAAUUAAAAGCUCUUCCAGUGAUUUGACAGAAUGAAGUCUGCGAGGCAAAUUAACUGAGUUUCCUCAUUGCUGUUGUCACUUCGCACGCUGGCUGAGAGUUCUUGAAUCCAGCCCUGUUCCUUUACAAAAAACAUAUUCCUUACCUUUCUUGCAAGGAGCCCCAAGGCUGAUGAAAAGUGAGAGAGGUUUUAGCUGUGAUCUUUUUUCCACUUGAAGAGUGGCUUUUUUCUGCGGCUGUUUCAUGAGAUAGUUUCUGGUUAUUUCAUGGUUAUUCUGCAAAUUCUUGGGGAGAGUUUUCCAAUGGAUGAGUGGACAUUUCUUUAAGGAAGAAGGAUGCCUACUGAUUUUAAGGACGGUCUUUUAACAAAACCUUACACCAAUCCCCAUCUGAGACAUCACUUCCCUACCAGUGUCUCUUUAAGAAAUUCUAGUGAUAAAUCUAGCUUCAUUAUCCAACAUAUCUAACAAUCAGUGACAUCCUUUCCUUUCAUUAUAUGGGAUAGAGAUUGACUCAUUGGGUGACUCUGCUUUCAGUUGAAGCCACAUACAGUAACUGGAAACCCAGGGAGACUCUGCAGUCUCCAUGGAGACAGCACACUUACAACUUAAUGUGAUCAACAGAUGCUGCAAUAAUCUUGAAAGAUGGAGAAAAUGUUUCAAACCGAGUGUUGUUUAUGGUGGUACAGUGGAUGUUCAAAUUUGCUCUGUUAUGACUGGGCUCUGUAUAAACGCACAGUCUUUUGAAAACACACAGAUGUGUGCUGAGGGAGAAAUCUCCCAUGGGGAUAAAGCAGCUAGUAACUAGGCCACUGCUUUGCUGUUCCCAGCACCUGCCCCUGUGGGAAGCCACCUUCACUUCACUUCUAUUCCAGUUUAUCUGGAAACUGGGGCAGUGCUAGUCAUCCAGUUAACAGCCACAGUACCUUUUGUGCUCUGGGGUGGGUGACUGUAAUGAGAUGAAACUAGUAAGAUUCUGAUGAAUUAGCCUAUAAUCUCAGUGAAUGGAAUAGGAAUCUCCCUCUGUGCUGUAUGACCUAAUGCGGCAGCUGACGUCAGCGUGUCCACAGCUGAUUUAUAUGUGUUUCAUUCUCCUGCAAAACUUCUAAAGAGUGAUCAUUUCCCGCUGGAUUUUACAAGCUGUUGUAAAGAAAUGGCUUGUUUUCCACCUACCC